rnacentral:rRNA from 1 species
AGCGUACACGGUGGAUGCCCUGGCAGUCAGAGGCGAUGAAGGACGUGCUAAUCUGCGAAAAGCGUCGGUAAGGUGAUAUGAACCGUUAUAACCGGCGAUGUCCGAAUGGGGAAACCCAGUGCAAUUCGUUGCACUAUCGUUAACUGAAUACAUAGGUUAACGAGGCGAACCGGGGGAACUGAAACAUCUAAGUACCCCGAGGAAAAGAAAUCAACCGAGAUUCCCCCAGUAGCGGCGAGCGAACGGGGAGCAGCCCAGAGUCUGAAUCAGCUUGUGUGUUAGUGGAACGGUCUGGAAAGUCCGACGGUACAGGGUGAUAGUCCCGUACACCAAAAUGCACAGGCUGUGAACUCGAAGAGUAGGGCGGGACACGUGGUAUCCUGUCUGAAUAUGGGGGGACCAUCCUCCAAGGCUAAAUACUCCUGACUGACCGAUAGUGAACCAGUACCGUGAGGGAAAGGCGAAAAGAACCCCGGCGAGGGGAGUGAAAAAGAACCUGAAACCGUGUACGUACAAGCAGUGGGAGCACCUUCGGGUGUGACUGCGUACCUUUUGUAUAAUGGGUCAGCGACUUAUAUUCUGUAGCAAGGUUAACCGUAUAGGGGAGCCGCAGGGAAACCGAGUCUUAACUGGGCGUUAAGUUGCAGGGUAUAGACCCGAAACCCGGUGAUCUAGCCAUGGGCAGGUUGAAGGUUGGGUAACACUAACUGGAGGACCGAACCGACUAAUGUUGAAAAAUUAGCGGAUGACUUGUGGCUGGGGGUGAAAGGCCAAUCAAACCGGGAGAUAGCUGGUUCUCCCCGAAAGCUAUUUAGGUAGCGCCUCGUGAACUCAUCUUCGGGGGUAGAGCACUGUUUCGGCUAGGGGGUCAUCCCGACUUACCAACCCGAUGCAAACUACGAAUACCGAAGAAUGUUAUCACGGGAGACACACGGCGGGUGCUAACGUCCGUCGUGAAGAGGGAAACAACCCAGACCGCCAGCUAAGGUCCCAAAGUCAUGGUUAAGUGGGAAACGAUGUGGGAAGGCACAGACAGCCAGGAUGUUGGCUUAGAAGCAGCCAUCAUUUAAAGAAAGCGUAAUAGCUCACUGGUCGAGUCGGCCUGCGCGGAAGAUGUAACGGGGCUAAACCAUGCACCGAAGCUGCGGCAGCGACACUAUGUGUUGUUGGGUAGGGGAGCGUUCUGUAAGCCUGCGAAGGUGACCUGUGAGGGUUGCUGGAGGUAUCAGAAGUGCGAAUGCUGACAUAAGUAACGAUAAAGCGGGUGAAAAGCCCGCUCGCCGGAAGACCAAGGGUUCCUGUCCAACGUUAAUCGGGGCAGGGUGAGUCGACCCCUAAGGCGAGGCCGAAAGGCGUAGUCGAUGGGAAACAGGUUAAUAUUCCUGUACUUGGUGUUACUGCGAAGGGGGGACGGAGAAGGCUAUGUUAGCCGGGCGACGGUUGUCCCGGUUUAAGCAUGUAGGCUGNNNNNNNNNNNACUACGGUGCUGAAGUAACAAAUGCCCUGCUUCCAGGAAAAGCCUCUAAGCAUCAGGUAACAUUAAAUCGUACCCCAAACCGACACAGGUGGUCAGGUAGAGAAUACCAAGGCGCUUGAGAGAACUCGGGUGAAGGAACUAGGCAAAAUGGUGCCGUAACUUCGGGAGAAGGCACGCUGGUGUGUAGGUGAAGUCCCUGCGGAUGGAGCUGAGACCAGUCGAAGAUACCAGCUGGCUGCAACUGUUUAUUAAAAACACAGCACUGUGCAAACACGAAAGUGGACGUAUACGGUGUGACGCCUGCCCGGUGCCGGAAGGUUAAUUGAUGGGGUUAUCCGUAAGGAGAAGCUCUUGAUCGAAGCCCCGGUAAACGGCGGCCGUAACUAUAACGGUCCUAAGGUAGCGAAAUUCCUUGUCGGGUAAGUUCCGACCUGCACGAAUGGCGUAAUGAUGGCCAGGCUGUCUCCACCCGAGACUCAGUGAAAUUGAACUCGCUGUGAAGAUGCAGUGUACCCGCGGCAAGACGGAAAGACCCCGUGAACCUUUACUAUAGCUUGACACUGAACAUUGAGCCUUGAUGUGUAGGAUAGGUGGGAGGCUUUGAAGCGUGGACGCCAGUCUGCGUGGAGCCAACCUUGAAAUACCACCCUUUAAUGUUUGAUGUUCUAACGUUGGCCCCUGACCGGGGUUGCGGACAGUGUCUGGUGGGUAGUUUGACUGGGGCGGUCUCCUCCCAAAGCGUAACGGAGGAGCACGAAGGUUAGCUAAUCCUGGUCGGACAUCAGGAGGUUAGUGCAAUGGCAUAAGCUAGCUUGACUGCGAGCGUGACGGCGCGAGCAGGUGCGAAAGCAGGUCAUAGUGAUCCGGUGGUUCUGAAUGGAAGGGCCAUCGCUCAACGGAUAAAAGGUACUCCGGGGAUAACAGGCUGAUACCGCCCAAGAGUUCAUAUCGACGGCGGUGUUUGGCACCUCGAUGUCGGCUCAUCACAUCCUGGGGCUGAAGUAGGUCCCAAGGGUAUGGCUGUUCGCCAUUUAAAGUGGUACGCGAGCUGGGUUUAGAACGUCGUGAGACAGUUCGGUCCCUAUCUGCCGUGGGCGCUGGAGAAUUGAGGGGGGCUGCUCCUAGUACGAGAGGACCGGAGUGGACGCAUCACUGGUGUUCGGGUUGUCAUGCCAAUGGCACUGCCCGGUAGCUAAAUGCGGAAGAGAUAAGUGCUGAAAGCAUCUAAGCACGAAACUUGCCCCGAGAUGAGUUCU